rnacentral:rRNA from 1 species
CGAACGGGUGAGUAACGCGUGAGGAACCUGCCUCAAAGAGGGGGACAACAGUUGGAAACGACUGCUAAUACCGCAUAAGCCCACAGCUCGGCAUCGAGCCGAGGGAAAAGGAGCAAUCCGCUUUGAGAUGGCCUCGCGUCCGAUUAGCUAGUUGGUGAGGUAACGGCCCACCAAGGCGACGAUCGGUAGCCGGACUGAGAGGUUGAACGGCCACAUUGGGACUGAGACACGGCCCAG